GUCACCGAUGGGCCAACCCAGAACUGUGACUCUCUAACUCUACGGAAUGUGUAAUUAUAGCAACACAAGCGUCAAAUUACCAAGGACAAGUAGCUGCAAAGAGCAUAGAGGAAGCCGCAAAAGCCCGUUUUCACCCGCGGCCCAACCCUGCUUUCCCACAAGCCCAGGAAUAGUCAUUGUUAACAGGUGGUGUAUGUUCUUCU